AGCUAGUUGGUGAGGUAACGGCCCACCAAGGCAACGAUCGGUAGCCGGACUGAGAGGUUGAACGGCCACAUUGGGACUGAGACACGGCCCAGACUCCUACGGGAGGCAGCAGUGGGGAAUAUUGCACAAUGGGGGAAACCCUGAUGCUGCGACGCCGCGUGGAGGAAGAAGGUCUUCGGAUUGUAAACUCCUGUUGUUGAGGAAGAUAAUGACGGUACUCAACAAGGAAGUGACGGCUAACUACGUGCCAGCAGCCGCGGUAAAACGUAGGUCACAAGCGUUGUCCGGAAUUACUGGGUGUAAAGGGAGCGCAGGCGGGAAGACAAGUUGGAAGUGAAAUCCAUGGGCUCAACCCAUGAACUGCUUUCAAAACUGUUUUUCUUGAGUAGUGCAGAGGUAGGCGGAAUUCCCGGUGUAGCGGUGGAAUGCGUAGAUAUCGGGAGGAACACCAGUGGCGAAGGCGGCCUACUGGGCACCAACUGACGCUGAGGCUCGAAAGUGUGGGUAGCAAACAGGAUUAGAUACCCUGGUAGUCCACACCGUAAACGAUGAUUACUAGGUGUUGGAGGAUUGACCCCUUCAGUGCCGCAGUUAACACAAUAAGUAAUCCACCUGGGGAGUACGACCGCAAGGUUGAAACUCAAAGGAAUUGACGGGGGCCCGCACAAGCAGUGGAGUAUGUGGUUUAAUUCGACGCAACGCGAAGAACCUCACCAAGUCUUGACAUCCUGCGACGGUUCUGGAAACAGAGCUUUCCUUCGGGACGCAGAGACAGGUGGUGCAUGGUUGUCGUCAGCUCGUGUCGUGAGAUGUUGGGUUAAGUCCCGCAACGAGCGCAACCCUUAUGGUCAGUUACUACGCAAGAGGACUCUGGCCAGACUGCCGUUGACAAAACGGAGGAAGGUGGGGAUGACGUCAAAUCAUCAUGCCCUUUAUGACUUGGGCUACACACGUACUACAAUGGCGUUAAACAAAGAGAAGCAAGACCGCGAGGUGGAGCAAAACUCAGAAACAACGUCCCAGUUCGGACUGCAGGCUGCAACUCGCCUGCACGAAGUCGGAAUUGCUAGUAAUCGUGGAUCAGCAUGCCACGGUGAAUACGUUCCCGGGCCUUGUACACACCGCCCGUCACACCAUGAGGGCCGGGGGGACCCGAAGUCGGUAGUCUAACCGCAAGGAGGACGCCGCCGAAGGUAAAACUGGUGAUUGGGGUGAAGUCGUAACAAGGUAGCCGUAGGAGAACCUGCGGCUG
rnacentral:rRNA from 1 species